rnacentral:rRNA from 1 species
UACGUAGGGACCAAGCGUUGUUCGGAUUUACUGGGCGUAAAGGGCGCGCAGGCGGCUGCUCAAGUCAGGCGUGAAAGGCCUGGGCUCAACCCGGGAAUUGCGCUUGAGACUGGGCUGGCUUGAGUGCGGGAGAGGAUGGUGGAAUUCCCAGUGUAGAGGUGAAAUUCGUAGAUAUUGGGAAGAACACCGGUGGCGAAGGCGGCCAUCUGGACCGCAACUGACGCUGAGGCGCGGAAAAGCGUGGGGGAGCAAACAGG